rnacentral:rRNA from 1 species
AGAGUUUGAUCAUGGCUCAGGAUGAACGCUGGCUGUGUGCCUAAUACAUGCAUGUCGAGCGAAGCACUUCGGUGCUUAGCGGCGAAUGGGUGAGUAACACGUACUUAACCUACCCCCAAGAUUGGGACAACACCUGGAAACGGGUGCUAAUACCAAAUACGUAUUUUUAUCGCAUGAUAGAAAUAUAAAAGGAGCUUCGGCUUCACUAGGGGAUGGGAGUGCGCUACAUUAGUUAGUUGGUAGGGCAAUGGCCUACCAAGACGAUGAUGUAUAGCGGGGCCGAGAGGCUGAUCCGCCACACUGGGACUGAGAUACGGCCCAGACUCCUACGGGAGGCAGCAGUAGGGAAUUUUCCACAAUGAACGAAAGUUUGAUGGAGCGACACAGCGUGCAGGAUGAAGGUCUUCGGAUCGUAAACUGCUGUUAUAAGGGAAGAAAAACUUUAGUAGGUAAUGACUAGAACUUGACGGUACCUUAUCAGAAAGCGACGGCUAACUAUGUGCCAGCAGCCGCGGUAAU